rnacentral:rRNA from 1 species
CAGCCGCCGCGGUAACACGUAGGUGGCAAGCGUUGUCCGGAAUUAUUGGGCGUAAAGGGCUCGCAGGCGGUUUCUUAAGUCUGAUGUGAAAGCCCCCGGCUCAACCGGGGAGGGCCAUUGGAAACUGGGAAACUUGAGUGCAGAAGAGGAGAGUGGAAUUCCACGUGUAGCGGUGAAAUGCGUAGAGAUGUGGAGGAACACCAGUGGCGAAGGCGACUCUCUGGUCUGUAACUGACGCUGAGGAGCGAAAGCGUGGGGAGCGAACAGGAUUAGAUACCCCAGUAGUCCCUGUCUCUUAUAC